AAAUUAGGUUAUCACACCAAGUGGAACGUUAUAUAUAUACCUUUACCAAUUAUUCAUUUUUAGGUCAUGACUAUGAACAUGAUCAAGCAAAUGUUAGUGCCAAAUGUGAAUUUGAAUUCUGGUCAUAAAAUGCCUCUUAUAGGGAUGGGAACAGCACCUUCCUUACCAGAACAUGAUCAAUUAGUGUCAACACUGAUAGAUGCCAUUGAAAUUGGUUAUCGUCACUUUGACUCAGCCGCGGUCUAUGGCUCUGAGGAAGCACUUGGUCAAGCAGUGGUGGAAGCCAUACAACGCGGACUAAUUAAGAGUCGUGAACAAGUCUUUAUUACGUCUAAAUUAUGGUGCACGGAAACUCAUCGCCACCUUGUUCUUCCUGCCUUAAAAAGAACUCUUGGGAGGCUCAAGAUGGAUUACUUGGAUUUAUACCUAAUACAUUUGCCAGUGACAAUGAAGAAGAAGGUUAAUAGUAAGGAUGAUGAAAUGAGGGUUGACAAAGAGGAUAUAAUUCCAUUUGACAUGAGAGGGACAUGGGAAGCCAUGGAAGAAUGUUGUAGAUUAGGUCUAGCCAAAUCUAUUGGUGUCUCCAACUUUACAUGCACUAAGAUCUCUCAAAUCCUACACUAUGCUACCAUUCUUCCUGCAGUAAACCAAGUGGAAAUGCAUGUUGCAUGGAGGCAGGAGAAGAUGUUAGAGUUUUGCAAGGAAAAAGGAAUACAUGUGAGUGCAUGGUCUCCACUUGGAGCUAAUGGGUUAACUCCUUGGGGCAUCCAUUCUGUU
rnacentral:misc_RNA from 1 species